rnacentral:sRNA from 1 species
GUAUUUCCUGUGGUGUGUUCACACGCAGCUAGACACAGCUAACUUGAGUCUUGGAGCUCCUAGAGGGGAGCUUCUGGAAAGGAAGGCUCUUCAGGACCUCUUAGGAGCCAGUGCCUAGGAAAGUUGUCCCCUUGAAUGUCAGUGUGAAGGUGAAGGAGGAAGCAGAUGCCUGUUCAUACGGAAACAAAGACCUGGCUGUGAAGAGGGGAGGCGGACACCAAAGUCCUGACACUUGGGCGGGACAGAAUUGAUCUGUGAGAGACUCUCAUCUAGUUCACACCCUAGGUGAUCCCGGGGGUGGCAUGGGAGUAGAUUAGAGAUCCCAGUCUGGUAUCCUCUGGAGAGUAGGAGUCCCAGGAGCUGAAGGUUUCUGGCCACUGAACUUUGGCUAAAGCAGAGGUGUCACAGCUGCUCAAGAUUCCCUGGUUAAAAAGUGAAAGUGAAAUAGAGGGUCGGGGCAUUGCUUUCCCAGAAGGAUUGCUCGGCAUCCUGCCCUUCCCAGAAGCAGCUCUGGUGCUGGAGAGAGCACUGCCUCCCUGUGUGACUGGGUGAGUCCAUAUUCUCUCUUUGGGUCUCAAUUUUGCCUU